rnacentral:rRNA from 1 species
UCUACGGGAGGCUGCAGUGGGGAAUAUUGCACAAUGGGGGAAACCCUGAUGCAGCGACGCCGCGUGAGUGAAGAAGUAAUUCGUUAUGUAAAGCUCUAUCAGCAGGGAAGAAAAUGACGGUACCUGAGUAAGAAGCCCCGGCUAACUACGUGCCAGCAGCCGCGGUAAUACGUAGGGGGCAAGCGUUAUCCGGAUUUACUGGGUGUAAAGGGAGCGUAGACGGGAGUGGAAGGCUGGAGUGAAAGGCGGGGGCCCAACCCCCGGACUGCUCUGGAAACUGUACGGCUGGAGUGCAGGAGAGGUAAGUGGAAUUCCUGGUGUAGCGGUGAAAUGCGUAGAUAUCAGGAGGAACACCGGUGGCGAAGGCGGCCUGCUGGACUGCGACUGACGUUGAGGCCCGAAAGCGUGGGGAGCAAACAGGAUUAGAUACCCCAGUAGUC